rnacentral:lncRNA from 1 species
UAACAGGUUACAGGUAUGCCGGCACCAGAACAAAGUCCUCUCAAGUUGUUAGAGCUGAGAUUCCAGGGACGGUAUCAGUGUCACUGGGACCAUACCCAGUAGGAACGGGAGGCUCCAGGUGAGGGGAGAGGUAUGUAGAGCCGUGUGCGGAAAGAAACCAUGGCCAUAGGAACAGAAGUUUUCCAGCCUGGAUGCUGCAGCUUUCUGGCCAUCAAAACGAGUGUCACACACCUUUUAUUCCAGUGGCGAGUCCCUCUUCCCAAGCUCUCUGGGCUACCUCCUCAUCCACUAGCCUGGGGACCCUUCUGUUCUCUCCACCAUGUAAGGACACACGAGUAGCAUCAUCUGUGAAGGACAAGCCAUGACCAGAUGCUGUGAGCACCUGCUCCUGGACUUUUCAUAUUCCAAAUCUGUCCUGAGUUCAAAUCCCAGCAACCACAUGGUGGCUCACAACCAUCUGUAAUGGGAUCUGAUGUCCUCUUCUGGUGUGACUGAAGACAGCAACAGUGGACUUAUACAUAAUAAAUAAAUCUUU